UACGAGGGGGGCGAGCGUUGUUCGGAAUUAUUGGGCGUAAAGGGUGCGUAGGCGGCCUGACAAGUCUGAUGUGAAAUCCCUGGGCUCAACCCAGGGCCUGCAUCGGAAACUGUCGGGCUUGAGUAUGGGAGAGGUGAGUGGAAUUUCCGGUGUAGCGGUGAAAUGCGUAGAUAUCGGGAGGAACACCAGUGGCGAAGGCGGCGACCUGGGCCAAUAUUGACGCUGAGGUGCGAAAGCGUGGGGAGCAAACAGG
rnacentral:rRNA from 1 species